ACUUGAUUUGUCGCUGAAAGUUUCGGUUUUGUUAUAAACUUUGUGUUAGGAGCAACUCAGCCACAAAUUUACCACUCUCUACACUAUCUUCGUUUAAUUCAUAAGCAAUAAACCAUCUAAAGCUCUCAUUUCAUCAAUACUAUGUAAUAAAAAACCCCAUUAAUGCAUAACAAUUUCCUACCACUGUAUAACAUAAACGAUGCAUAAAGUGUGUUUCUUCUGUUUCCGAUUUUUCGAGUGUCUUCGCAGUGUUCGACAUAAUUAACUUCAUGGUUACUACCCCAAAGGAACGCUUGCAAAUUCUUUUCUUGUUUUGACCAACACAGCCACCAAUGAUGGAUACUUUUCACUCCGUGUGGCAAAAUGGUACACAACUUGCCAAGGACAUAAUAUUAUCAGGAUAAUCCUUUCAAGAGAGACGCCUCUAGAACUAUAUUGUAUUCAGCCAGCGACCCAAGACAAAUAGAGAUCAAAGGAAACCACUUUUCCAGUGAAUGAUCCCUAAAAAGAAAAACAGAAAAUCCUUGUCAAUGUCGUUCAUUUGGAAGAUAAAUACAAUCCAUGGACCAUGGUAGGUUAAGAUCCAUGGAGGCUAUGUAAUGAUGGUUAUGACAAAGAUGACAGUUGAUGUUAUCAAUAAGGAUUGUUGACUGUCCUAUAUGACAAAUAGCGCCAUCAAUACGAAAGAUGAUGAUGAUGAUGACGAUAAUGUUGACGUUGAUGACGAUGAUGAUGACAAUGAUAUGAUGAUGACGUUGAUGACGAUGACGAUGUUGAUGACGACAAAGAUGAUGAUAUGGAAAAUAAUGACGACAAUGAUGGUUAUAAAAAUGACACUAAAAUGAGAAAUAAAAUAAUACCUUACACCAAGACAAAUGAACGUUUGAAACUAGAAAAAAAAUAAACUUUAACGUGAAUUCUUCACAGAAGAGGAAA